rnacentral:rRNA from 5 species
GUCGUGACUGCGUGCCUUUUGAAGAAUGAGCCUGCGAGUUAGCGGUGUGUAGCGAGGUUAACCCGUGUGGGGAAGCCGUAGCGAAAGCGAGUCCGAAUAGGGCGAUUGAGUUGCACGCUCUAGACCCGAAGCGGAGUGAUCUAGCCAUGGGCAGGUUGAAGCGGAGGUAAGACUUCGUGGAGGACCGAACCCACCAGGGUUGAAAACCUGGGGGAUGACCUGUGGUUAGGGGUGAAAGGCCAAUCAAACUCCGUGAUAGCUGGUUCUCCCCGAAAUGCAUUUAGGUGCAGCGUCGUGUGUUUCUUGCCGGAGGUAGAGCACUGGAUAGGCGAUGGGCCCUACCGGGUUACUGACCUUAGCCAAACUCCGAAUGCCGGUAAGUGAGAGCACGGCAGUGAGACUGUGGGGGAUAAGCUCCAUGGUCGAGAGGGAAACAGCCCAGAGCAUCGACUAAGGCCCCUAAGCGUACGCUAAGUGGGAAAGGAUGUGGAGUCGCAGAGACAACCAGGAGGUUGGCUUAGAAGCAGCCACCCUUGAAAGAGUGCGUAAUAGCUCACUGGUCAAGUGAUUCCGCGCCGACAAUGUAGCGGGGCUCAAGCGUACCGCCGAAGUCGUGUCAUUGCAGCAAUAGGGCCAACGCCCGCUGUGAUGGGUAGGGGAGCGUCGUGUGCCGGGUGAAGCAGCAGCGGAAGCUAGUUGUGGACGGUUCACGAGUGAGAAUGCAGGCAUGAGUAGCGAUACACACGUGAGAAACGUGUGCGCCGAUUGACUAAGGGUUCCUGGGUCAAGCUGAUCUGCCCAGGGUAAGUCGGGACCUAAGGCGAGGCCGACAGGCGUAGUCGAUGGACAACCGGUUGAUAUUCCGGUACCCGCUUUGAAACGCCCAAUAUCGAAUCAGGCGAUGCUAAGUCCGUGAAGCCGUUCCGGACCCUUCGGGGAAAGGAAAGUGGUGGAGCCGACGAACCAGACUUGUAGUAGGUAAGCGAUGGGGUGACGCAGGAAGGUAGUCCAGCCCGGGCGGUGGUUGUCCCGGGGUAAGGGUGUAGGCCGAGGGGUAGGCAAAUCCGUCCCUCGUUAAGGCUGAGACCUGAUGCCGAGCCGAUUGUGGUGAAGUGGAUGAUCCUAUGCUGUCGAGAAAAGCCUCUAGCGAGUUUCAUGGCGGCCCGUACCCUAAACCGACUCAGGUGGUCAGGUAGAGAAUACCGAGGCGUUCGGGUGAACUAUGGUUAAGGAACUCGGCAAAAUGCCCCCGUAACUUCGGGAGAAGGGGGGCCAUCACUGGUGAUCGGACUUGCUCCGUGAGCUGGGGGUGGCCGCAGAGACCAGCGAGAAGCGACUGUUUACUAAAAACACAGGUCCGUGCGAAGCCGUAAGGCGAUGUAUACGGACUGACGCCUGCCCGGUGCUGGAACGUUAAGGGGACCGGUUAGUGACCUUUCGGGGUUGCGAAGCUGAGAACUUAAGCGCCAGUAAACGGCGGUGGUAACUAUAACCAUCCUAAGGUAGCGAAAUUCCUUGUCGGGUAAGUUCCGACCUGCACGAAUGGCGUAACGACUUCUCGACUGUCUCAACCAUAGGCCCGGUGAAAUUGCACUACGAGUAAAGAUGCUCGUUUCGCGCAGCAGGACGGAAAGACCCCGGGACCUUUACUACAGUUUGAUAUUGGUGUUCGGUUCGGCUUGUGUAGGAUAGGUGGGAGACUUUGAAACCCCAACGCCAGUUGGGGUGGAGUCGCCGUUGAAAUACCACUCUGGUCGUGCUGGAUGUCUAACCUCGGUCCGUGAUCCGGAUCAGGGACAGUGUCUGAUGGGUAGUUUAACUGGGGCGGUUGCCUCCCAAAGGGUAACGGAGGCGCCCAAAGGUUCCCUCAGCCUGGUUGGCAAUCAGGUGUUGAGUGUAAGUGCACAAGGGAGCUUGACUGUGAGACCGACGGGUCGAGCAGGGACGAAAGUCGGGACUAGUGAUCCGGCGGUGGCUUGUGGAAGCGCCGUCGCUCAACGGAUAAAAGGUACCCCGGGGAUAACAGGCUGAUCUUCCCCAAGAGUCCAUAUCGACGGGAUGGUUUGGCACCUCGAUGUCGGCUCGUCGCAUCCUGGGGCUGGAGUCGGUCCCAAGGGUUGGGCUGUUCGCCCAUUAAAGCGGUACGCGAGCUGGGUUUAGAACGUCGUGAGACAGUUCGGUCCCUAUCCGCUGUGCGCGUAGGAAUAUUGAGAAGGGCUGUCCCUAGUACGAGAGGACCGGGACGGACGAACCUCUGGUGUGCCAGUUGUCCUGCCAAGGGCAUGGCUGGUUGGCUACGUUCGGGAGGGAUAACCGCUGAAAGCAUCUAAGCGGGAAGCCUGCUUCAAGAUGAGUAUUCCCACCUCCUUGAGAGGGUAAGGCUCCCAGUAGACGACUGGGUUGAUAGGCCAGAUGUGGAAGCCCGGUAACGGGUGAAGCUGACUGGUACUAAUAGGCCGAGGGCUUGUCCUCAGUUG